AUUGAACGCUGGCGGCAGGCCUAACACAUGCAAGUCGAACGAGUGGCGGACGGGUGAGUAAUGUCUGGGAAACUGCCUGAUGGAGGGGGAUAACUACUGGAAACGGUAGCUAAUACCGCAUACCCUCAGAUGUGCCCAGAUGGGAUUAGCUUGUUGGUGGGGUAACGGCUCACCAAGGCGACGAUCCCUAGCGGGUCUGAGGGGAUGACCGGCCAAAUGGGAACUGAGACACGGUCCAGACUCCAACGGAAGGCAGAGGUGGGGAAUAUUGCACAAGGGGCGCAAGCCUGAUGCAGCAAUGCCGCGUGUAUGAGGAAGGCCUUCGGGUUGUAAAGUACGUUCAGCGGGGAGGCGUUACCCGCAGAAGAAGCACCGGCUAACUCCGUGCCAGCAGCCGCGGUAAUUC
rnacentral:rRNA from 1 species